UGAAGACAGAAGAUGUUGCGGAGAACCAGUCGUAGCAUACGAUUUGUUGGGAGACUCGUUUGUUCGAGAUGGAUUGCGAGUGAUGUUCGGAAGGUGGUGUGUGCUUUCACAUUGACCAAGGGCUCAGCACAUUUAAGACUGAAAGAUUUUGUCAAGUUAAAUAGGAAGUUUCCACUAACAGGAAGAUUGGAAGCAGAAGGAAAUACUUUUAAUCUAAUUGGCAAAUGAACCAGCUUAUACCCUGCAGACCUGGAAUGAGUCUCGCCACCCUUCUCUGAAUGCUCUCCAGUGCCCACACAUCCGUCACAAAAUAUGGAGACCAAAAUUUUACAGUACUCAAGGUGUGGCCUCACAAGCACGUUGUACAGCUUAAUGAGAAUGCCUUUAGACUUGAACUCCACUGAGCAAAUCAUAUAGCACAACAUUCUAUGAGCCGAUGCGUUUGCAAAAGAAAGGGAAACAGAAGAUGAAUCCCCAGUCACUUUGGAUUCAAUCAAUGGCUUCCUUUAACGGCAAAAAUCGGAAUUUUCUGAGGAGUUUCAACGGCAAAUUAGAUACAAUUCAACAAACUUUAUCUGAGCAUGAGAACCGAAUUCAGGAAAAUGUUGUGAAGCUGACGACACUUGAAGAGGACGUUGAAGAUACAAUUAAACUCUGCAAAGAGUUAUAUUUUUAUCCAAUGAUAAAAUGCUGAAAAGGAUCAUCAGUCUCGAAAAUAGAAACAGGAGAAAUUACUUGUGAAUUCUGGGUCCUGAAGAAUCAAUUGAAGGCGCUGACCCUACAAAGUUUUUUGCAAACUUUCUGAAGCAACUUUUCCCUGCUUUAUUCACUUCCAAGCCGAAGCUCGAUCGAGCUUAUCGCUCUCUGACUUUGAAGCCAUUGUCCUCAGCAGCGAAACCCAGAUCGGUCAUACUAAGCUUUCAUGUAUUUCAUAUUAAGGACCUUUUAAUUCGCCAUACCCGGUGACAAGGAAUGAUCGAUUUCCAAAACUACAAGGUUAGAUUUGUGGAAGACUAUUUGCCUGAAGUUAUGGCUGAUUGCAUGAAAUAAAAAGAAGUUAUGUCGGAAUUUUACAAUAAAGGAUAUAAACUAUCCCUUCGGUUCCCCGCCCGCCUGAGUAUUGUUUUGAAGAACAGAUUGUGAAAAAGAAUAAGGUCGGUUGAAGAUGCAAAAGAGUUUCUGAAGGAUGAAGUCUAAAACUGUUAUAUUUCUUAUUUGAUCAAGUUUUUUCUUCUGUUAAUAUGAAUUUGAAAUAAGGUUUCAUUAAGCUUGCAUUUUGGCUGUUUAUAUAUUGUCUUUUGGUUUUUUUUUGAUACUACUUUAUUUUAUCCCUUUUUGAGGCAUUAUUUUAAUACAGCUUUCUUUGAAUUUGUUUAAACUGAUCCUUUCAUAUUUUCGAAUACUGAGUUACUUUUUUUUUGUGUUGUGUCUUGGUAGGGACAUAAUGACCUUGCAGGACUGGAG